UCCNGCUCAUGACUGUGGCCUUGAUGCUC
rnacentral:piRNA from 1 species